rnacentral:tmRNA from 1 species
GGGGGCGACUUUGGUUUCGACUGUUGUAAGCAGAUUUAUAGUGGCAUGUAGGGGUGAGAGUCCUCUUAAAAACUUUCAAAACAGUAAACGCAAACAACGAAUACGCUUUAGCAGCUUAAUAUAAGCUCUAACGGGAAUCAGCUUUACCCACCCGGUGGGCUGAGGACUGUCACUAAACGGGUGGCUGAACUCUCCGGUUCUUGGCUUAGGAGUGAACAGUACAAAAGCCAGUAGACUUUGAACUCCCGGUUAUGGGUAAAACAAAGUUGAAUAUUCAUACAUAACCUAAACAUGUAGAGGCUGUAGUGAAGCGCAAUAGGACGCGGGUUCGAUUCCCGCCGUCUCCAUUU